rnacentral:rRNA from 1 species
UGGGGAAUAUUGCGCAAUGGGGGGAACCCUGACGCAGCAACGCCGCGUGAGUGAAGAAGGUCUUCGGAUCGUAAAACUCUGUCAUAGGGGAAGAAGGAGAUGACGGUACCCUAUGAGGAAGCCCCGGCUAACUACGUGCCAGCAGCCGCGGUAAUACGUAGGGGGCGAGCGUUGUCCGGAAUUACUGGGCGUAAAGGGUGCGCAGGCGGCCGAUUAAGUCAGAUGUGAAAUACCAGGGCUCAACCCUGGGGGUGCAUUUGAAACUGGUUGGCUUGAGUGCAGGAGAGGAAAGCGGAAUUCCUAGUGUAGCGGUGAAAUGCGUAGAGAUUAGGAGGAACACCAGUGGCGAAGGCGGCUUUCUGGACUGUAACUGACGCUGAGGCACGAAAGCGUGGGGAGCAAACAGG